CCGGGAAGAGCUCCCCCGACGCCGACGGGGACGUCGGCAGUAACGGAAAGUCCAACAAAAGCAAAACUAAAGGCGUGUUCGCGUGCUGCUU
rnacentral:ribozyme from 1 species